GCUGAGCUGGCAGAGUGGCAUUGCACCUGACUGUAGACCAGGCGACCCGAGCGUUCAUUGGAGGUUCGAUUCCUUCGCUCAGCA
rnacentral:tRNA from 1 species